CAGCCAAAUUGCACCCACACUAUGUAUAGAUAAGUAGGGUGGCACACACAACAGCAGUCCAAUUUGAGACGCCCUCCUCUCUCUCUUUUUUCGUUUUUAUUUUGUACAAAUACGAAACAGUGAAAAACACUUACAUACACCUGCUUUUCACUGCUUCGGCAUAUUUAACUGAUCCGUUGCCUUUUCAUUUUC
rnacentral:ribozyme from 1 species